UUGGGGCACUGUUCAGCAGGCUGACUGCAGCAGGGAAGAAGCUGUUCUUGUGGCGUGAGGUCCUGAUCCUAAUGGACCAGAUGGCAAGAGGAGAGGGGCUGGAAGAGUACAUGCCUGGGGUGAGAGGGGUUGGCUGCAAUCCUGGCUGCACGCCCCUGGGUCCUGGAGACGUACAAGUCCUGGAGUGAAGGGAGGCUGCAGCCGAUCACCUUCUCAGCGGAGUGGAUGAUGCGCUGCAGCUUGGCCUUGUCCCUGGCCGUGGCAGCAGCAAACCAGACUGUGAUGGAGGAAGUGAGAAUCGAUUCAAUGAUGGCAGUGUAGAAGUUGACCAUUAUCUUCACAGGGAGGUGGAACUUCUUCAGCUGCCACAAGAAGUACAGCCUCUGCUGAGCCUUCUUGGUGAGUGAGCUGAUGUUCUGCUCCCACUUGAGCUCCUGGGUGAUGGUGGUUCCCAAGUGUGAUGGUGGUGGUGGAUCAGUGUGCAUUGGGCACCAUGACCCUGUCACCAUAACCCUGUCACUGGUUGUCAUUCCUUGGACCACUUUUGGUAGGUACUAACCACUGCAAACUACUGGAAACACCCCACAAGACCUACUGUUUUGGAGAUGCAUUGACCCAGUCAUCUAGCCAUCAUAAUUUGGCCCUUGUCCAAGUCACUCAGAUCCUUACACUUGCCCAUUUUUCCUGUUUCAACACAUCUACUUUGAGAACUGACUGUUAACUUGCUGCCUAAUAAAUCCCAUUUUGCAGGUGCUAUUGUAAAGAGAAACUCAAUGUUAUUCACUUCACCUAUCAGUUUUUUUUUUUGUUUUGGCUGAUCAAAGUAUAUUUUUUACCCUUGCUUUCCCUACAGCAUCACCUAAACUUUUGCUACUGACUUUUAGCCCUAGCUUCAUCGCAGUUGACACAGAUCCUUUUUCCCUACCCAAGCCAUUCUAAUAGCUCUGUCAGUACUUCAUUAAUCAUUUUUGUCACUAUGCAUGCAGAGCAGGUGCAGGUGGAUGGUGUUACACAUUGCUCCUGAGUGGAAAAAGCACAACCUGGGCUUCAAGGCAGCCAGAAAGCUGACCUUUCAGCCCUUGGUGCCACUUGUCACUACAUUACAGUAAGACCUGAUCAUACUGCCAUCAACGAGAUCUAUAGCCAUGUAUCUGGAGUGGAGGAGGAAGGGUGCUCCCUGGCAAAACAGAUUUAGCAAAUCAGCGAAUGAUUGUACGGAUUGGAUUCUCAACUCAAAGAGUCAACUGAUUGCACCCUGAAUCGCGAAGAAAGAUAGAGUUGCAUGCAUCUUCAUGGAUAGAGUUGGACUUAGAGUGUACAUCAACUCAAAGCUCCAGAAGCUGGAUGAGGUCAUCUUAGCACGUCUGCAUCGUUGGGACAAAAAGUAGAAGAAAGGAGGAGUAGAUACCUCCUAAGCAGUAGAUACCUAUCAUGGUGUCCUGCAGUCUACUCCACCCGGCCUCUUCUACAGGCACAGCUGACAGCAUCCCUCCAUCCUUCCAAGAAAUAGAAGUGAAACCCCCGAUUCUUCAGGUUGGGGAAUUGAGAAGCUCUAUUGAUGUCGUUGAUUUCAUCAAGCAAUGUGAAAUCUAUUGAUACUUAGAUCACUGAGCAAUCAGGAAUUCCUGGGUGAGUUCACAGUGCCGAAAGGUCCGGCACGCAGCUUUUUGUGCAAAAAAUCAGAUGUUGGAGCAUUUUAAGAGGUGGAUUUUGGAAGCCUUUCUCUCCAAAGACUAUCAGGCCAAAACAAUUCUGGGCCAUGAUCCAGACACCAUCACAGUGUUUCAGGGUCUUUGCAUGACUAUUGUGCACUCUGUCUGAAUUGGCAGCCAGAUAUGGCCAAAGAAGAGACAGCCCCCAAUGCGAGUGAUCUGUGUGAAAUUGUGGUCACAGCUGGAGAAGACCAGGUAACUGAUCAAAUCACUGGGAGAUCCAGUACUACACACCCUGAUGAGCACAAGUCUCUGUGAUAAGAUCAGACAUUAAGAUGAGACACUGGAAAUGGGCAAAGGUUCAAAGUAUGUUAUGGGUAAUGGACAGGAGAGUAGAACCACUGGGAGUUAUACUACUACACACCUUGUGUGACUUACUGCCACCAUUUUUGUCCUGGAGGAUGAAUAGCUGUACAGGUUGUUGCUGUUCGGCUUUGACUUCUUACGUAUUAGCCAGAUGCUGUUGAAGCCAUAGCUGGGGUGAUAUUUUUGCCUGGUGGGAAAGAAUACAAGUUUCUCUGCAAGGCUCACUCUGCACUCCAGUGUGUCCACCCUCCACCAAAUGUCAAAGACUCUUCUUUUAGAUUUUGUGUGGAAAGACUCUUUUUUUUAAAAAAAAGAUUUUGUGUGGAUUACUGGGGCUUUAAUGCUAAUACACAUAAUGAUGCUUACCCAAUGCUGCUGGUCCACAAAAUAUAGGAGUCCCUGCAGGGUGCCCAUGUCUUCAGCACUCCAAGUGGUUACUUGCAGGUAGCCAUGGAUGAGAAUGGUACUGGUACUCGGCUAGGACUGUACAAUUUCAGGGUCAUGCCCUUCAGGCUGAGAAGUGUUGGUGCCAUAUUUCAGCAUGAAGACAUUCCUGGAGGAGCUGAGAGGAAAUAUCUGCUUUGUUUACAUUGACAACAACUGUGACAACAUCUGGUGCACCACUGAACCACCUAAAGAAAAAGGGCAUUCCCUGGGAAUGGACGCCAGACUGUCAGGCUACCUUCAAACAGUUGCCCUACUUGCCCUACAAUCUCCACUAAUGCUGGUCCAACCAAGUCCUCACCAUUUCCCACCAAAGACCACCAGAUGUUUGAGGUUGUAGGCAUUCACAUUCAGGGUUCACUGUGAGAAGGGUUUUUGCAACAUAGUCCUUGACACAUUGUCACAAUCUCCUGCACAACCAACUGGGAACAUCUGCAUAGCGUCAAAUGUUCGUGUAGCCAAAGCUAGACAAGCCAGAAAUUAUAAUGGAUGAUGCCGAAAUGUACACUUUGACAUGUGUGUUAGAGUGCAGCUGCAGUCUAUAGUGGCCAAAAACUGGAAUUGGCCAGCUAAGGAGGAGAGAAGAUUGAGUCCAUUAAACUACUCUGUCCUUGGGUAGCUGAAAGUAGAAAAAUAUAAUUUGGUGUGGCUGGGAAUGGGUGAGGAGUUGAGAAUGUAAUGGUUGCCUAUUACCAAUGUGUUCUAAUAUUUAGGCUGAAAUUACAUUUAUUUUAGGUAUCCUCGGCCAGCCAUAACUUGGGUCACCCCUGGGAUGAGCAAUUUGAAAGGACAUGCGCAGGUGAUUGGUCAGCAAUACAGAGGGAAUUGGAAAGAGAAAAAGGACUGGGCCGAAGCAAGAGCAGCAUGCUAUGUGUUCCGCUGUUCAUGCCAGCAAGAAGCUAAUCAGUUGUGUGUACAGAAAAAUGUGGAUAAUGGUCAUGCAGGUGGAUUAGCACAAAGGGACAAGCCAUCUGGAUGAAGGAAUCAACAUUAUCCAGAGCCAGCAACAACCAAUGGAGUGGUGAUAUUCAGGGUCUUAAAGGAGACCAGAGUCCCGUGCCUCCUGCCUAUUCAUUUAGCUGCGUGCUGCUACUUCUAACUACUGCAUACACAUGGCAUAUACAGAACUGUGAACAUAACAGCAUCACAAACUAGGGAUUGUACACAAACUGUGAUCACAUUUAUGGAUUGCAGUGUGGCACAAAUAGUAGUAUUGUAUUCUAGCGUGUGUGUGUGUAUGUGCAUGUACACCUGUGGUUGGUGCUUGUAUAUUGGGAGAAAGAGAAAAGAGAAACAGCAUGAUGUGUGCACAUUAAACAGUUUAUCGAGAUUAAAGUGGUGCAUUUUUUGGUGCUAAGUAUUAAUUGGUCAACCAUAGCUUCCUCCAGUUUCCACAUUGCCUUACCUGUUUUAACAGCCAUUAGCCCUUAAUCUAUGAUUAAGCUUUGUAGGCUUGUUGGCCCCAAGCCUUAGACGUUGCUGUGCACAGCCUUUUAGUCGUAACGAGGUCAUUCUAUGUCGUAGCACAAUCUCAUGCAAAAUUCGUUGCAAGUGUAAUGAAAGAAGACAAUUCUACUUGAAAAUGUCAUAUGUACAGGUACAACCAUGGAGUCUGCUUUUAACCCUAACUUAAGCAGUAACUUUUCAUAUGAGUCCAUACAAUCUAUACCAUUAAGCGUUGCUCAGACAGCGGCAUACUAGAUGUGCAGUAUGUGGAGUUUGCCCAAAACUGAGACGUGCCACAGACAUUAAUGAUUCCGGCUUUGAAUUAGGCAAAGUGCCUUUCUCUAGCAUGAAAUGGGGGUGAAACCAGCAAAAUUGAACUAUUAAAAAUUGCAAGUAAAAUUGAGCUGAUUAAAAUGCAGUUGAGAAAAGAUUUAAACAAUCUUUUGACUGGUAAAUUCAAAGAUUUGGAUAAAAUACCAGCUUUGCCAAAUAUGACCAUUUUAUCACCAUGUCAGUCCCAUCAGCAUUUAUCAUUCACACAUAGCAGUGCAGAGUGUGGUUAGCAUGCAGAGUGGUCACCACAGCAGGGUGGAAGUAACAAAUAUUCAUUACUUAAAAAAAAUUUUUUUCAAGUAAAAUUUUUUUUGCAUUUGAGCCUCAGUUUUAAUAAGUUUUAUUUCCUUCCACAUAAGUAAACUGCAGGAAAAAAAUACACCAUUGUCUACAAUGGUACUGUACUUCUUUAUUUUGAUACAUAUUGCCAACCUGUACACUUUAAAGACACAGCCAAAUUAGGUCCCAAUGCAUUUGGAAAGAAACAAAAAAUUUUAUUUCAUUUUUCAGAAGUCAAUAUAAUUAAUAUCUGAUUUCAUUUGGAACUACAGACUCUGGCAGAAGGCACAGAACAGUGACAGCGGUUCAUCAGGUUAAUUCACUGGUAUGUGUGCAAGGUUAGUGUGGCAGUGGGGAUGUGGUCAAGCAUCUGCUUUGGACAGAGAGUAUGUGGGUUGAAUGGGCAGGCAACAUGUGAUGAUUCUCACCUGUGGGUUAUUACCACCAGCCUACCAACUAUAUGUGCUUUUUUGUCCUUUUUGUGAGUGCCGUGAGCCAGAGAGAGACAGAGCUGGCAGAACCUGCACAUAUGCACAGAGCUUUGAACUUGAAUGAAGUGAAAGCCAGGAGCUGGUAACAGCCCAUUUGGGUUGCAUUGCUUUUGGUUUUGUUUGACUGAGUUUUUGAAAUCGCACUGAAGCGUGCUCCUGUCAAAGAAAAGUUUGUUCCGAAGUUCCAUCAAAAAUUCACCUGAACCAGGAACUGCCGAGUGUUCAGGGAAUAACUGCUCCAGUACCACCAAAUUGAUAUGUUCCAUGUCCCGUUCCUGCGCCAGCAGCCACCACUGACAGGAGUCUUUCAGCUGCUGAGCAUAAAUGAAGGGGCAGCCAAACUUGGUGAGCUGCAGGACCAGAAGUAUCGACGGUGCGCCUCUGGUUUUAGACUGACCUGCUGCAGUGCCGCCCUCUUGACACUCUGGUACUCCAGCUGAGUCCGCUGCUGAGCAGCAAGCUGGGCUUCGUGGUCGAGGAAGCUUGUGUGGGGCAGGAACUUGGGCUUCCCCCGAAGGCAAAGAGAGGAGUUGCAGAGCCCAUUCAUCAUCUUUGUGAGUGUCACAUGCUGGAUGGUGGAGGCGGACUCAGCUGGAGAUGCGGUGGGCUGCAGCAGCUUCUGGAGCGUCUGACUGUAGAAUCCAAUGUGUGUAGGAAGACUUGUGAGACAGGCAGAUUUUUGAUGGAGCUUUGGGGCUCACUUUUAAUUGUCAAAACACCUUUCUGCAUGCAUUCAAAAACACAACCAAAAGAAUUGCAGCCCAAAAGGGCCUUCAACAGCUCGCAGCUUUCGCCUCAUUCAAUUGAGUUCAAGCUCAAGUUCAAGCUCACGCGCUGUGCGUGUACAUGCUCUGCCAGCACUGCAUCUCUCGCCGACUCUCACUGAGAGAUCAAAAAGCACACAUAAAUGCAGGCUUGCAAUAAUAACACACAGGUGAGAAUCAUACACAUUACCUGCUGGUUCAUUCCGCCUCCACUCUGUCAACAGCCAACAGUCGACCACGCUCCCACUGCCGCUGAUAGUAACUGAGAAUUGCAGUCUGUUUCACACGUGAGGGUCUACCCCCAAUAAAUCAGCACUUAAGAGUAAUCUGAAUAGGGCCUCCAAUAUUGCAGGGUCUACCAGUUUUUUCCUUAUUAAAGGACCAUUAAGAAAGUGAUCUUCUUGCACUCUCAUUAUGAUCUUUGUUAUAUUUAUACAUUUGUUCUUUUUUUGGUUCUAAUUGGAGCAUGGAAGUAAAAAAUUGUGUAGCUUAGAUGCACAGUCUAAGCUUUUGGGGAUACUGUAGGUAUGUAUUGUAACGAUUAUGAUUAUGGUUAUAUAGUGAGAGGAUUCAUCUAAUUUCAUGCAGCAUGAUUUCAGUUUUAUAUAGCAUAAAUUUACUAUAGCUCUGUUUUACCUUAAAGGAUAUCCUUUUAUGAAUAUUUUUAUGAACACAAGACUGCAAUCAUGUGUCAAAUCUUGAUUAGUCUUUCUUAAGGCACUAAGCAAAUAGGCAGCAAGAAAACCAUAAAACAAUGAAUUCUCGUUUACAGACACUGAGGAGUUACCGCCUGCCUAAUUUCAGCUAUCCUGUGAACAACAGAGCAAACAUUAGAACAUCCCUGACCAGAGGAUGAACCAUCUCAGCCAAGAGGAACCCUGUCAAACCUUUUGAUUUAGGCCAUUGGCCAAGACCGGAUGGCUGGUCCACAGGAUAACACCCAAGGACACUAAGCCAUAAAUCAGACAACCUAAGGCCAAAAGGGGGGUGACUCACCCAUGGAAGCCUCAAGAAAGAAACAACACAGGCUGGCCUUCUGGACUGAGACCCUUUGUUCCUUCCCCCAGGAACACAAUUAUCACCCUGUUCUCACCACCAGUCACACAUUCCACAGAACCCGGCUUUAACAGACUGCAUCAGAUUACGUUACAUCCCCUAAAAGGGCAAUGACUCUUAAAAUGAUGCACCAUAGUUUGAAAACCUGUUGUCUCUUAAUGUUAUGCCUUAUUUGUAUCAUGCUUAUAGCCACACGGUUGCCAUUAUUAAUUUGAUUGUUUAGCAUGCAUUAUCCUGGUUGAUGGUAUGAUUAUUGGGGCUGAUUAUUAGCAGUCCAGGAACCACAGAUUAUAAAUGUCUUGUUUGGUAUGUGUGUGAUCGUUGUGUAAUUUCCUAAGAGUUGGGAUAAAGUAAAUUUGAGUACAUUGUUGUUAUAUCCAUGUUACAAAAUUCAUAACCAAGGUCUAAAUUUGACUUGUGGAAAGUUUGCCAAGCACAUAACUCAGAGACCAGUAUGUUAAUUAGUGUCAGAGGAGGAGAAUGCAGUUUACACCCUGCCCAAGAUUCUGCUGAUUGGAGCAAGCACUUUGGGGUCAGCCCAACUGGAAAGGGUUAAAACUCAGAGUCUCUACCAACAUCUUCAAGGGGUCUCUUUUAACAUCUGCAGGAGUCUCUUCCAACAUCUUCAAGGAGCUCUCUUCUACAAACAUCUUUGAGUCUCUUUCAUCGGCUCCAGGAGUCUCAUCCAUCCACUUCAUCAGGAGUUCUCUUCAACCAACAUCUUGAGGGAGUCUUUUUUAACAACUCUGAGUCUCUUCCAACAAAUCACCAGGAGUUCUCGUCAACCAAGCGCUUCACAGGUUCUCACCCCUCAAUCAUGAGAAGAUCACACUCGCUCCAAGGCUCCGCAUCCAGACUAGUUCCGGCAAAGGGAGGGAAUCCCUGGCAACACAAAUGCAAGUAUAAUAUCUCCAGAUUCUAGCUGAACUGGUGCAUUUAAUAUAAAGUUUAAAGCCCUUCUAAACAAAACAAAGGUUAAAUUGACACGUUGAUUGUUCGUUCAGGUCAUUGUCUGAGAAACAGCAUACAGUCCUAGAAACACGGAACUUCAUUCAUUCUCUGUCAAAACCCUUCUCUGUGUAACCUUUGUGUGUGAGCCUGCAUGUGUUUAUUUGUUAGAUUAGUUUCUGUGUUUUAGAAUAGUAAUAAAGUCUUGUGUGAGAUUUAAAGGCACGUGUCUUGUGCCUCUGUGCUUAUUAUUUACUGUCUUACACUGCCACUGCCUUACACAUCUUGUUACUAUGUUCUUAAUAUUGUGUUUUCACUAUAUUUAGGAUAUUAUGGUAACACCCCAUGCACAAUUAAUAAAUACACUAAUUUCAACUUAUUGCUGGACGAAUAAUUGUUCAGUUAUUAAAAUAUUAAGUUUGCCAAAUUUCCCCUUCUGAGCUGAUCUGCUGAUCAGCUUAACUUAGUUUCCUACAAUUAAUUCAUGUAUUCCUUGUAUUCACAGGUACUUGUGACUGCUCUGAAUUAACCUUAAAAAAUAUAUACACUAUACACUAAUAACUGUACACUACACUUGCAGACUAUACACUAGGACUGUGAGAUAUUGAUUUUCCAUUGAAUGCAAUUUUCCAUUUUAAAAAUUCAUUAUAAACAAUUUAAUUGUCUAGUAUCAGAGGCCUAAAAAAGACAGGAUAUAUAUUUGACAUUAAUGAACAUUCUCCAUUUACCUUUGCAGAAAGCAAGUGAUACUGGGGGAAGAGGACACAGCUUCCAAGAGUGAACAAAAAUGAACACUGCAUUGUUUUACGGAACACAAAGAAGACACCUUUGGUGGAAAACAGACCGCGCACAGCAACAGAGGCACUGAGGACUCAACUCGACUGUGCCCGCCCCCAACAUCAGACUGUCCGACUGAGGUUGCUUCUAGCCUGAGAGGAGAUGCAGACAAUAGGCAAACACCAUCUUCUGUCAUCACCGAGGGUCCAAGGCCAACAACGCCAGCUGGAAGUUGCUAUCCCGAACUCCAGUUUUCUUGUCCCUCGCCAGAGCAGCUAGGCAUCUUUAUGACGCAGAGACAGGGACAGCCGGAGCAAUAUGGUUACUUGCUGUUCUGUGCCAUUUUACCAGUGGUAUAAAGAGUGGGCUUCGACCACCAACUGGGAUAGUUCGAAGGGCAAAUCUGCAUUGCUCAUGAACCUAAGGCACUUUAUCUUGAAUACUGUUUCCCAGAGCAACAUGACCAACACUGACCGGAAGCGCAUCAAAGAAAGAGUCAAUGAGUUCUCAUACUCUCCAAGGAAUGCUGUUGCCCACAGGCGCCUGCAUUUUUAACCAACAUGUAACUAUUUUUAUUUUAGAAAAAAAACUUAGUUUGAUUUAAUGUUUCCAUUUUCUUUGUAUGAAUAAAUUUAUUUUGUAAAACAUAAUUAUGUCUUAUCUUUCUUUCCUUAAGACACUUAAGAAAUAAACAGAUUUUAAUGUCAAAGACUCAAACUGUUAUUAAUACAUUAGCUCAAAUACAUUGCCAAGCAUAUGAAGUCAUGUCUAAUAUUUUGUUUAGAGAAAAGUUUAAGAAUAAUUGAAAUCCACUUAUCCUGCCAUUUCUCAUUUCCAUGACAACCAAACACCAGCAUUUUUGAAAAAAAAAUUUUUCCAGCAGUAACAGGAUUUUUUAAUACAGGAAAUAUAGCUUGUCUACAUAAAUUCUGCUUGAAUUUAAAACCUGAUUUUAAGUUUAUUUUUUAUUUUUUUAAAUUUGUGUGUGCCAUGGUGGUGGCGGUCCCCGCAGCGGUAAGGGGUAUUUUGGUUGCCAACCUACAUAGCGCUGAAUAUUUUAG